UACGAAGGAUUCGAGCGUUAUCCGGAUUUAUUGGGUUUAAAGGGUGCGUAGGUGGAUUGAUAAGUCAGUGGUGAAAGCCCGCAGCUCAACUGCGGAACUGCCAUUGAUACUGUCAAUCUUGAGUACAGUUGAGGUGGGCGGAAUGUGUCAUGUAGCGGUGAAAUGCUUAGAUAUGACACAGAACACCGAUUGCGAAGGCAGCUCACUAAGCUGUAACUGACACUGAGGCACGAAAGCGUGGGGAGCAAACAGG
rnacentral:rRNA from 1 species